rnacentral:rRNA from 1 species
AGCGUGACGGCGCGAGCAGGUGCGAAAGCAGGUCAUAGUGAUCCGGUGGUUCUGAAUGGAAGGGCCAUCGCUCAACGGAUAAAAGGUACUCCGGGGAUAACAGGCUGAUACCGCCCAAGAGUUCAUAUCGACGGCGGUGUUUGGCACCUCGAUGUCGGCUCAUCACAUCCUGGGGCUGAAGUAGGUCCCAAGGGUAUGGCUGUUCGCCAUUUAAAGUGGUACGCGAGCUGGGUUUAGAACGUCGUGAGACAGUUCGGUCCCUAUCUGCCGUGGGCGCUGGAGAACUGAGGGGGGCUGCUCCUAGUACGAGAGGACCGGAGUGGACGCAUCACUGGUGUUCGGGUUGUCAUGCCAAUGGCACUGCCCGGUAGCUAAAUGCGGAAGAGAUAAGUGCUGAAAGCAUCUAAGCACGAAACUUGCCCCG